rnacentral:rRNA from 1 species
GACGAACGCUGGCGGCGUGGAUUAGGCAUGCAAGUCGAACGGUAUCAUCCUUUCGGGGGUGAGAGAGUGGCGAACUGGUGAGUAACACGUAGGUUAUCUACCCUCAAGACGGGGACAACCCAGGGAAACUUGGGCUAAUACCGGAUGUGAGCAACUUUUAGUUGUUUGAAAGGUGGCGUAAGCUGUCGCUUGGGGAUGAGCCUGCGUCCUAUUAGUUAGUUGGUGAGGUAACGGCUCACCUAGGCAAUGAUAGGUAGGCGGCCUUAACGGGUGGUCGCCCACACUGGGAUUGAGAUACGGCCCAGACUCCUACGGGAGGCAGCAGUCGAGAAUAGUCUACAAUGGUCGGAAGACUGAUAGUGCGACGCCGCGUGAACGAUGAAUCCCUUCGGGUGUAAAGUUCUUUUAUAUGUGAGCAGUGCUUCUUAUAUUAACAGUAUGGGGAGAGAGAUAUUAGCAUAUGAAUAAGCAACGGCUAACUCCGUGCCAGCAGCCGCGU